rnacentral:lncRNA from 1 species
AAAUUUCAUCCCGUAUUGUAUAUAUCUAUUAUAUAUGUACAAGCUUAACUAAAUAUAUUAGUAUUGAAGAUCGAUCAUUAGGAACACUGAUUGAGUUGUAGUACAUAUAUAUUUCAAUUUGAGUAUAGCUAUAGCUAAAAAGGUGCAGAUGCUAUAUCCCUGAAUGCUUCAAGUGAUGCUUCUUGGGCUACUAAUUCCACUUCUUCACCCAAAUCCAUGUUACUAGAUCCCAUGCUACAAGCAGCACUAACCACUGGCUGCAAUCCCUGCCAUUUCAAAAUUAAUUGGUGUCAUGUUAAUUAAUUUCUCCUAUAAUUAAA